UGUAUAAGAGACAGCAGUAGCCGCGGUAAAACGUAGGUGGCAAGCGUUGUCCGGAAUUAUUGGGCGUAAAGCGCGCGCAGGCGGAUAGGUCAGUCUGUCUUAAAAGUUCGGGGCUUAACCCCGUGAUGGGAUGGAAACUGCCAAUCUAGAGUAUCGGAGAGGAAAGUGGAAUUCCUAGUGUAGCGGUGAAAUGCGUAGAUAUUAGGAAGAACACCAGUGGCGAAGGCGACUUUCUGGACGAAGACUGACGCUGAGGCGCGAAAGCCAGGGGAGCGAACGGGAUUAGAUACCCCCGUAGUCCCUGUCUCUUAUACA
rnacentral:rRNA from 1 species